rnacentral:lncRNA from 1 species
AUUGGCCCUUGACCAGCCUGAUUGGUUGCAGGAGGGGACCAAUCAGAGGUACCUCCCAUUUUUCAUCUGCAGCCCAAUGCAAAGUAAUGACAUGGAUCUGGAGAGAUUCUCUUAGGAGAGAAUCUGGCUAAGUGUCUAGCAGGAUGAUUGAUUAACAAGAUGUUUUGUUUUCAUCAUCUCAGAGAUAAGUACAACUAUUCUGUCAUCUAAUCUGCUAACUCCUACAUUAUCAAUACGCUGUAUUGAGGUAUAAUUGAUAUGCCAAAUAACUGGACACAUUCAACUUGUGCAAUUUGAUGAGUUUGGAGAUACACAUACAUCUGUGAAACCAUCACCAAAAUCAAGAACAACUUUCUCUGAUCUCUGUGGACAUGCUUAAAAUGGCUGACUCACACAGCAAGACUAUUUAACUGUGCCUAAAAUCAACCCACAUUCAGAUGCUAACUGUAAUCCUAUUCCCUGAUCCAUCAGGAAAAAGAGUCUGAUUGACAUAACUUGUCAAGUGUUCGCCCCAGCUUCUAUCAACUAUGGGGAAGGAAGGGCCAGAAGAGGUGUAACCAUCAUGGCUACCAGAGUACAUGGUUUCCAGGCCAAAUACCACAGUGUUCCAGGCAAGGAUGUGGUCAGUUUCCUUCUCUGCUGGAUCCCAAAGCCCAGGGCAGCUCUUGCACAUAGAUUUAAGAAAGUCUUUGUGGCUGUGGUGGCUUCAAAUCACUCCCGAGGCUUUAGAAGAAUAUAAUUGCCGUUCUAAGAAGAAUCUGAGGCCUCUAGGAGAUCUGCCAGUAGUGGCCCCAAUGUAUAACAGCACUAGCUCAGUGAAGAGAGAGAGAAAAGAUCUGAAGAGAGUGGUUGCAGUUUGAGCUCUGUCAAUGGGACAGUCCUGGGCAGGAGACUGGGGAGAAGAGGCGGCUUGCUGGUUUUCCUGAACCACUUCCACCCUGAAAGACUCCUUGCAUACAAUCAUCAGAGAAGAACCGUGGGAACCAAGAACCAUGAGCAGGAGAACCAUGAGCACACUGUUCGCAAUGGCCAAGAUUUGGAGGCAACCUAAGUGUCCAUCGACAGACAAAUGGUUAAAGAAAAUGAGGAAGGAAUAUCAAGAAAAUAGACUACAAAUAAAUGUCUUUUAUUUCUACUUCUUCAAUAUAUAUUAUAACAUUCUUCUUGCCAACUGAUCUUCUUGCCUCCAAUUUGACCCCUCUGAUCCACCAAGUAUUGCAUACUACCGUGUUUUGAGACAUAGGAGGAGGAAAAAACCAUGGCUGCGGAGGUGAUUUAAUAUCCUGUUGACUCUGAAGAAAAAUACACUUCUUCAUUAUAAGAGUUUUAUUGCCAAUGACUAGAAGGAAAUGUAAAGGGGACAACACAAGAUGACUAACACAGGAAGUUAUAAAACUCACAGCUCUAACUGUCAUGGCCCUGGGCCCAUGGUGCCUGAAUCCCUCUGGGAGUAUUAAAUGGAAGGCCCCCUGGUACCUGAAUUUUGUUUUAGUUUUCUCUCUCCAUCUCUGUGAUUACACAUAAAAUCAGCCAAGCACCUGCUCCCCUCCAGCCUAGAUAACACAUACCUCCAUGCUAUAAAGGGACAAUUUGACCAAGAGACACCCACCUCACCUGACCACAGAGCUGGAAAAUCUACUAUGUCAGACUUCCAUGCAACCGCUGGUGGGAGAAAGUUUUCACGAGUCUCUCUGGGCCCUUAUCCCUCUCCCCUGUAUUCCCAUCCUUAUCCAAAUCCACAUUUCACCAAACUCCCUAACGCUAAGCAGCUGUUGAAGUUCAGAUCACAGUCUCUGAGGAGCUCCUGGUUUCCCAUGGAAUGUGAUUUGCCUCAUCAUCUUACAGCCUGCCUCCACUUUGCUUUCUUAUCAUUUCAGAGGCUU